UUCUGAUUUUGGGGAAUCCAAACUGAGAUGGGCAUAUUUUGCUACCUGAAAUGGCCUGGACCUAUAUUUGCUCUUAAGGAGAGCAAGAAUUUGGAGUACAGAAUUUCUGGCAGCUGCUGCUGCCACCUAGAAAUUGUUAUUGAACAACAUGAAGCAAUAUGGCAAGGCUGAAACUGGCUUGUUUUCUCUGAAGACUUAAAGAAAUUUGGAGGCAUCAAUCUUCACAUUCCUCGUGGUGGAAGGCUUAAAGAGCAAGCCACAUCUGAGCUGGCCUUGAAAACUCUGCCUGGCUGAAGUUCCCAUUGUCACCUUUUUCAGGAAUUGCCUCCUUUCCUUAAGACAGUCUGACUAGGUUUGUAACUCAAAUGGCUUCCAUCAAAACAACACCCUGAACCAGGUGCUGGCCAUUCAGUGACCUGUGACUGAGCUGUGCCUUACCUACUGUCUUUCUGGACCUCUGUGCCAGCCUCUGCAGCCAGAUUAGUUCUUUCAGAGCUUGCACUGGGUCCCGGCUUCUCCUCAGCGACAGCAGUCCAGGGAUGACAGGUGCCAUGCUUUCUGCACAAGUCUUCAUCUGCGGAAACAAGAGGGCUUAUUGUCCGUCCUUCCUGACAUUUCUCACUGCCACUCUGCACUAGACUCCAUUCACGUUCACUACCUGGAAAUCCUGGACCAGGGGAUAAGGUAGUUCCCUCUGCCCUGGAAAAUUAGAAGAGAAGUGUACUAUCCUCCCUAUCUUGUGAGUUGCUGACUGUCAAGAAUGGAAAGAAUUUGAAAAAGCAGCUGAGAAAAUCAUCCCUUACCCCAUUUUCAGGUAAAAUCACACCAGUUUUCCUUGGGAGAUGAACUCUCCAUCACUGAAUGAAUACUUGAUGACCUACCCUACUGAAUUAAAGGUGUGGAAAGUAACAUGAGCCAGACCAGUUUUACAGAUGGAAACACUGAAUCUCCAAGAGGCGGUGAAAGCGGCCCACGGUCCCACCUUAGGAGGCUAGAAGGAGGCACACACCUGCCUGCCCCCCCGAAUGGACACUCUCCAUCGCACCCAGACACUGCCUCCACCAACGCGGAACACAUACAGGACCCGCGGUAGUUUCGGUUACAUAUAAAGUGAGUUAUAAAAACGUCAUUUAGUGCCCUGUAAUGUGCAUUCUAUAGCCUUGUGAUGGGGAAUGCAUGUGCAGAGCCAAAGAAGUCGUGUACAUUUUGAAAUGAUCUUCCUGGGAAGAAGCACACCGUUUGUCAAUAUCAAAUCUUAUCUCGUUUGAAGUUCCCAGACUCUCUGGAGCUCUAAUAAGAAGUAGCUUGCUAAUCUUUGAAAUACAAAUGCUGAUCGGCAGAGUUGUGUUUUUUUUUUUUUUAUUUUUUAUUUUUCCCUCUUCUGUCGUUUAGGGCCUCUGGGGGAGGGAAGAUCAUGUUAACAUAUGCAUGCUUACUCACUUACAGAAAACCAACUCUUUAUUUACCUGAGCUUCUCCUCAUGUCCCUGGACAAGUAAUUAAACCAAAUCAUUGACCUCUUCUGGAGCA